CGAAAAGUAAGUACUUUUAUUUUACAAACUACAAAGUCGUAUUGGGCUAUUCCAUUUAAUAUCCGUACCCCCUACCUCCUGUCGAGGAUCCCUGGAAUUCUUCAGGGGUAAAGGGUUUUGAGCUUGGAAUUCUUCAGGGGUAAAGUGUUUUGAGCUUGGAAUUCUUCAGGGCUAAAGUGUUUUGAGUUUGGAAUUCUUCAGGGGUAAAUGGUUUUGAGCUUGGAAUUCUUCAGGGGUAAAGGGUUUUGAGCUUGGAAUUCUUCAGGGGUAAAGAGGUUUGAGAUUGAAAUUUUUCAGAGCUUGGAAUUCUUCAGGGGUGAAGGGUUUUGAGCUUGGAAUUCUUCAGGGGUAAAAGGUUUUGAGCUUGAAAUUCUUCAGGGGUAAAGGGUUUUGAGCUUGGAAUUCUUUAGGGGUGAAGGGUUUUGAGCUUGGAAUUCUUUAGGGGUGAAGGGUUUUGAGCUUGGAAUUCUUCAGGGGUAAAAGGUUUUGAGCUUGGAAUUCUUCAGGGGUAAAGAGUUUUGAGCUUGGAAUUUUGGAAUUCUUCAGGGGUAAACAGUUUUGAGCUUGGAAUUCUUCAGGGGUAUGACAAUGAAAAACAUGUAUCCUCGACAGGGGGGGGGGGUACGGAUAUUAAAUGGAAUAGCCCAUUUUGAACAUACUAUAGAUGACUUUCUUUAUUUAUAGUCUAUAUAUAUAUAUAUAUAUAUAUAUAUAUAUAUAUAUAUAUAUAUAUAUAUAUAUAUACUACCGACGGUACCGUUUCGGCCUUUAGGAUACCUAGUGUCCUUCACUAGGCUAGUGAGAGGUAUUCUGUACUUUUGCACUCGCCAGUUAUCAUGAAUGUGUCUUUGAUAAUAAGAUCUAAGUUUGAUUUCAUAUACAACAUUUAAUGGCGUGUGAUCGACUAAUUUGACUGAGUUUCACAAAGAAACACAUUGGAGAAGAUAGCCAGAAGGCUGCCUUAACAACAUAAUUUAGGUCAUUCUCAUUGGAAUAAUGUGUUGUAGUUCAUAUACAUAUAAACGCCAAAUAACCAAGCCUCAUUAAUGCUGGUGAGAGAUGGUGCCCUAACAGCACAUGCCCUUUGUGUUUGUGUACAUAUAUUAAUUUAUGAAAAAAACAUGCAGGAAACUAACAAAUAAAUAAGGAAUAGACUAGUAUGGACGACAAACUCAAAGUGCAAAAUUGGGCAUGCUUGUGUGAGAUUAUGCAACAUUAGGCGAAAUUAGGCGACAUUAAGCGAAUAGACUGUCAGUCAAAGUUCAAAACUUAGGUGCACAUGGGCGAAAGUGGGCGAAAGUGGGCGAAAGUGGGCGAAAUUAGGCGACCCUGGCCCCCAAUGUAGGCCUGUGUGUCUAUUUCUGUAUGUUUAUUCGACUGUAAAUUAAAUUGACACUCACUUACGUUAGGGAACGUUUUACAUUUGGAGAUUUAGUACAAGUAAAUAUCCUACGACUCUAGUCUCUAUCCGCGUUUUCGCUUGCCCUGAGAUUCAUAGUAGGCGGCCCUCCCCCAUAGUAUGUUAUGCCAUACUAGCCGGCCUACAAUAUAUUUAUAAAAGGUCACAGGCGACGCGGUACUGAUAUAUAGCACGAAAGAUUAUUCCAUAUAUACUAAAUUAUGCCCUUUUAAUAUAGGAUGCGCCAUUUUUAUAUGUAUAAACAAUAAGUUGAUUUUACAACUUGUAUUUGAAAUUGAUAUUUUGAACGAAUAUUAAUAUCUCGGCCUCAUCACAGAUGCUAAAAUUAAUGAUCUUCAUUAUUUUUAAAUUUGUUUUCCAUUUUUAUAUACUCAAUGCCAAUGGGCGGAAGUUGAAAAUUGCACAUCUACCUUUCAAAUGCAAGUUGUAAAUUCAACUUAUUGUAUUUAUGCCCCGUCGCGUGUGACCUUUUUAUAUAUUAUGUUUGCUAUAUCAUUCUAGCCGGCCUACAAUGAAUCUCAUGCAGGGCAAGCCAAAACUCGGAUAUAGUCAUACAACACUACUCGUAGGCCUACUAAAUUUCCAAGUGCACAAAAUUAGCUACUGAAUUGAGGGUCAGCUAAUAAAUUUUAAACACAGUGAAAUAGACAAAUAGACACACAUGCGUUGAAAUAUUAUUUAAGCUAUGACUUACAAGGCCUACAUUUGUUUGUAUUUUUGUCCGUUUUGAUUGACCGAAACGGCGAAAGGUUAUUAUCACGCUAAAAGUUUCCCUUCCAUCGCUGCUUAUGUGUUGUGUGAGAAAGAUCAAGUUGCUAUUACGUAUAUUAAAGAAUUGUAAGUGAUGCUAAAGUAAAGGCAAACU
rnacentral:lncRNA from 1 species